CAGAAACCAGAUUUUAAGGUCUGGAACUUAUCUAGUCUUGCUUUAAAGACAUAGUUUUCUGCAGCUUACUGGUGACAAAUAUAAUAAAUCUGGAUACAGCUCUAUAAAGUAGGGCUGUAAUCAACCAAAGAAAUUGUUGGUCGACUGAAGCCCUGAAAAUUCAACUAAAAAUCGACUCGGGCGUUGGGGGGUUGGGGGGGGGGGCAAUUAUACACAAGAGGCGAUUCGGGGAACAUUAUCUUUAUUAAACAUCCCAGAUCUAGGGUCGAAGUACAGCCUGCGGGCACGGAUUAAGCUCCGUCAGGUGUUUGUUGGGG